rnacentral:rRNA from 1 species
CGAUGAGUAGGGCGGGACACGUGACAUCCUGUCUGAAUAUGGGGGGACCAUCCUCCAAGGCUAAAUACUCCUGACUGACCGAUAGUGAACCAGUACCGUGAGGGAAAGGCGAAAAGAACCCCGGCGAGGGGAGUGAAAUAGAACCUGAAACCGUGUACGUACAAGCAGUGGGAGCACCUUCGUGGUGUGACUGCGUACCUUUUGUAUAAUGGGUCAGCGACUUAUAUUUUGUAGCAAGGUUAACCGUAUAGGGGAGCCGUAGGGAAACCGAGUCUUAACUGGGCGAAUAGUUGCAAGGUAUAGACCCGAAACCCGGUGAUCUAGCCAUGGGCAGGUUGAAGGUUGGGUAACACUAACUGGAGGACCGAACCGACUAAUGUUGAAAAAUUAGCGGAUGACUUGUGGCUGGGGGUGAAAGGCCAAUCAAACCGGGAGAUAGCUGGUUCUCCCCGAAAGCUAUUUAGGUAGCGCCUCGUGAACUCAUCUUCGGGGGUAGAGCACUGUUUCGGCUAGGGGGCCAUCCCGGCUUACCAAACCGAUGCAAACUCCGAAUACCGAAGAAUGUUAUCACGGGAGACACACGGCGGGUGCUAACGUCCGUCGUGAAGAGGGAAACAACCCAGACCGCCAGCUAAGGUCCCAAAGUCAUGGUUAAGUGGGAAACGAUGUGGGAAGGCAUAGACAGCCAGGAUGUUGGCUUAGAAGCAGCCAUCAUUUAAAGAAAGCGUAAUAGCUCACUGGUCGAGUCGGCCUGCGCGGAAGAUGUAACGGGGCUAAACCAUGCACCGAAGCUGCGGCAGCGACGCUUAGGCGUUGUUGGGUAGGGGAGCGUUCUGUAAGCCGUUGAAGGUGGCCUGUGAGGGUUGCUGGAGGUAUCAGAAGUG